rnacentral:rRNA from 1 species
UUAAAGUAGUAAGGGCGCAGGGUGGAUGCCUUGGCACUAAGAGCCGAUGAAAGACGUGAUAAGCUGCGAAAAGCUUCGGGGAGGAGCACAUAUCCAAUGAUCCGGAGAUAUCUGAAUGGGGAAACCCGGCAGAGGAAACCUCUGUCAGCGUGCAGUGAAUACAUAGCUGUACGUGGGGAACCCGGGGAACUGAAACAUCUAAGUACCCGGAGGAAGAGAAAGAAAAUUUAUCGAUUUCCAAAGUAGCGGCGAGCGAAAUGGAAAGAGCCCAAACCGUGAUGCGUGCAUCGCGGGGUUCGGACUGCGUUGUGGCAGACGUAAGAUAGGAGAACGGACUGGGAAGUCCGGCCGGAGAGAGUGAAAGCCUCGUAUCCGAAAUCCCAAGUCGCCUAGCAGGAUCCAGAGUAGGACGAGACACGAGAAACCUUGUCUGAACGAGCGGGGACCACCCCGUAAGGCUAAAUACUCCUCAGUGACCGAUAGCGCAAAGUACUGUGAAGGAAAGGUGAAAAGGACCCCGGGAGGGGAGUGAAAGAGAACCUGAAACCCUGUGUCUACAAGCUGUGGGACCUCUUUAUAUGAGGGACUGCGUACUUUUUGUAGAACGGUCCGGCGAGUUGUGCGUACUGGCGAGGUUAAGGACUUAAGGUCUGGAGCCGAAGUGAAAGCAAGCGUUAAUAGCGCGUCAAGUCAGUGAGUGCAGACCCGAAACCGGGUGACCUAUCCAUGUCCAGGUUGAAGCUUCCGUAAGAGGAAGUGGAGGACCGAACCCACAUCCGUUGAAAAGGGUGGGGAUGAGGUGUGGAUAGCGGAGAAAUUCCAAUCGAACCCGGAGAUAGCUGGUUCUCCUCGAAAUAGCUUUAGGGCUAGCCUCAUGAGAGUCUUAUGGAGGUAGAGCACUGAAUUGCCUAGGGGGCGUCAAAGCUUACCAAAGCAUAUCAAACUCCGAAUGCCAUCAAGAUGAUUCAUGGGAGUCAGACCAUACGAGAUAAGUUGGAUGGUCAAAAGGGAAAGAGCCCAGACCUACAGCUAAGGUCCCAAAGUGCGUGUUAAGUGGAAAAGGAUGUGGGGAUUCUAAGACAACUAGGACGUUGGCUUAGAAGCAGCCAUUCAUUGAAAGAGUGCGUAAUAGCUCACUAGUCGAGAGUCCCUGCGCCGAAAAUGUCCGGGGCUGAAACACGACACCGAAGCUUAGGAAUGUGUAAACAUUGGUAGAGGAGCAUUGCUAGCGGGAUGAAGCCAUACCGUAAGGAGUGGUGGACUGCUAGGAAGAGAGAAUGCCGGAAUGAGUAGCGAGAUGAAGGUGAGAAUCCUUCAGGCCGAAUAUCUAAGGUUUCCAGAGUAAAGCUGAUCUGCUCUGGGUAAGUCGGGACCUAAGGCGAGGUCGAAAGACGUAGUCGAUGGAUAACAGGUUGAAAUUCCUGUACCGCAUAUAAACAGAACUGUGGGGACACAGACAGGGAAUGGAAUCCGGGAAUGGAAAUCCCGGUGCAAGCGAGGUAGGAGUGCUGUUGGCAAAUCCGCAGCACGAUCUGAAGACGUGACGCGUACCGAACAUAAGUAGGGAAGUCCAGGCCCCUGGCUGUCAAGAAAAGCCGCUAUCGUUUUAUAUGUGCCCGUACCGCAAACCGACACAGGUGGAUGAGGAGAGAAUCCUAAGGCCGACGGGAGAAGUAUUGUUAAGGAACUCGGCAAAAUGACUCCGUAACUUCGGGAGAAGGAGUGCCAUGAGAGUGGCCGCAGAGAAAUGGCCCAAGCAACUGUUUAGCAAAAACACAGGUCUAUGCAAAACCGCAAGGUGAAGUAUAUGGGCUGACGCCUGCCCGGUGCUGGAAGGUUAAGGGGAGAGGUUAGCGCAAGCGAAGCUUUGAACUUAAGCCCCAGUAAACGGCGGCCGUAACUAUAACGGUCCUAAGGUAGCGAAAUUCCUUGUCGGGUAAGUUCCGACCCGCACGAAAGGCGUAAUGAUUUGGGCACUGUCUCAACAAUGCACCCGGUGAAAUUGAAAUACCAGUGAAGAUGCUGGUUACCUGCGCCAGGACGGAAAGACCCCAUGGAGCUUUACUCCAGCUUGAUACUGGGAUUCGGUAUUGUAUGUACAGGAUAGGUGGGAGGCUGAGAAAUGGUGACGCCAGUCGCCAUGGAGCCGCUGUUGGGAUACCACCCUUGCAGUACUGGAUUUCUAACCAGCAGCCGUGACCCGGCUGGGGGACAAUGUCAGGUGGGGAGUUUGACUGGGGCGGUCGCCUCCGAAAGGGUAUCGGAGGCGCUCAAAGGUUCCCUCAGAAUGGUUGGAAACCAUU